rnacentral:rRNA from 1 species
UACGUAGGGUGCGAGCGUUGUCCGGAAUUAUUGGGCGUAAAGAGCUCGUAGGCGGUCUGUCGCGUCGGUCGUGAAAACUUGGGGCUUAACCCUGAGCUUGCGGUCGAUACGGGCAUGACUGGAGUUCGGUAGGGGAGACUGGAAUUCCUGGUGUAGCGGUGAAAUGCGCAGAUAUCAGGAGGAACACCAAUUGCGAAGGCAGCUCGCUGGGACGUUACUGACACUGAGACGCGAAAGCGUGGGGAGCAAACAGG